CUUUCGUAUACUUCAUAUAGACAUCGCUCUCAGAUGAAGUAUUCCGCAAUAGAAAUAGGUCCCAAAACUGUUUUUUAUACUCUUACAAUCUCAUUGCUGGUAAUUAGUUAAAAUGUUUCCCUUACAUUUGCGUGUACCCUAUGUCUUAAGCAUUUUGAAAUACAAUUGGUCUGAUGUUACUAAAUGAAAGAAUAAUACGUAUCUGAUUAUUAUACUGAAUUUACC